ACGUCACGUGACUUGAUGUCUCCCAAUGGCAUUCCUCCAACUCAGGAACUAGGAAGUAAAUAUUGCCACGGAUCUAUUGACAACAAUGGACUUUGUUUGCACUUGAUGCUCAACCUUGGACGACACUACAGAUAUCUUCUAGGCCUAAUCUAAUCUAACCUAGCCUGAUGGGUCUAUCGUAAUCUUGCAAGAUCAAAGAUUGAGCUGGACACCCCUGCACUGUAGUUACA